rnacentral:rRNA from 1 species
GACGAACGCUGGCGGCGUGCUUAACACAUGCAAGUCGAACGGUAAGGCCCUUCGGGGUACACGAGUGGCGAACGGGUGAGUAACACGUGGGUGAUGUGCCCUGCACUUCGGGAUAAGCCUGGGAAACUGGGUCUAAUACCGGAUAGGACCAUUGCCUGCAUGGGUGGUGGGGGAAAGCGUGUGCGGUGUGGGAUGGGGCCGCGGCCUAUCAGCUUGUUGGUGGGGUGAUGGCCUACCAAGGCGACGACGGGUAGCCGGCCUGAGAGGGUGACCGGCCACACUGGGACUGAGAUACGGCCCAGACUCCUACGGGAGGCAGCAGUGGGGAAUAUUGCACAAUGGGCGCAAGCCUGAUGCAGCGACGCCGCGUGAGGGAUGACGGCCUUCGGGUUGUAAACCUCUUUCAGCAUCGACGAAGCGCAAGUGACGGUAGGUGCAGAAGAAGGACCGGCCAACUACGUGCCAGCCGCCGCAGUAA